UCUGGUUGAUCCUGCCAGUAGUUAUAUGCUUGUCUCAAAGAUUAAAGCCAUGCAUGUCUAAGUACACACGAAUUAAAAGUGAAACGCAAAAGGCUCAUUAUAUCAGUUAUGGUUCCUUAGAUCGUUACAGUUACUUGGAUAAACUGUGGUAAUUCUAGACUGAAUACAUGCAAUUAAAAACAUGAACCUUAUGGGCAUUGCUUUUAUUAGGCUAAAACCAAGCGAUCGCAAGAUCGUUAUAUUGGUAUGAACUCUAGAUAACAUGCACGAUCGUAUGGUCUUGAGCACGACGGACAGAUCUUCAAAUGUCUGCCCUAUCAACUUUUGAUGGUAGUAUCUUAGGACUACCAUUGGUUGCAACGGGUAACGGGGAAUCAGAGGCGUUCUCAUUCCGGAGAGGGAGCCUGAGAAACGCUACCACAUCUAAGGAAGGCAGCAGGCGCGGUAAAUUACCCACUCCCAGCUCGGGGAGGUAGUGACGAAAAAUAACAAUACAGGACUCAUAUUCCGAGCGCCCUGUAAUUGGAAUGAGUACACUUUAAAUCCUUUAACAAGGACCCAAUUGGAGGGGCAAGUCUAGGUCCAGCAGACCGCGCGGGUAAAUUCCAGCUCCAAUGCGUAUAUUAAAGUUGUUGCGGUUAAAACGUUCGUAGUUGAACUUGUGCUUCAUAACCGGUUAGUACAACUUACAAUUGUGGUUCAGUACUAUACCUUUUAUCUAUAGUACGUAUUACCGGUGGAGUUCUUAUAUGUGAUUAAAUACUUGUAUUUUUUCAUAUGUCCUCCUAUUUAAAAACUCUGCAUUAGUGGCUCUUAAACGAGUGUUAUUGUGCGGCCCGGUACUAUUACUUGAACAAAUUAGAGUGCUUAAAGCAGGCCUUCAAAUGCCCUGAAUAUCUGUGCAUGGGAUAAUGAAAUUAAGACCUCUGUUUCUGCUUUCAUUGCGUUUUCAGAUCAAGAGGUAAUGUAUGUAAUAGAAGCAGUUUGGGGUGGCAUUAGUAUUACGACGCCGAGAGGUGAAUAUUCUUGGACCGUCGUAAAAGACUAACUUAAGCGAAAGCAUUUUGCCAAAGAUGUUUUCAUUAAUCAGAACGAAAGUUAGAGGUUCGAAGGCGAUCAGAUACGCGCCCUAGUUCAACCAUAAACGAUGCCAGCUAGCAAUUGGGUGUAGCUACUUUUAUGCUCUCUCAGUCGCUUCCCGGGAAACAAAGCUUUGGGCUCUCGGUAUAGUAUGGUUGCAAAGCUGAACUUAAAGGAAUUGACGGUGAAAGGGCACCACCAGGAGUGGAGCCUUGCGGCUUAAUUUGGACUCAACACUGGGAAACUUACCAGUCCGAACAUAAGUGUGUAAGACAGAUUGAUAGCUCUUUCUCGGAAUCUAUGGCGUGGUGGUGCAUGCCGUUUCUUAGUUCGUGGAGUAGAUUUGUCUGGUUAAUUCCGAUAAGAACGAACGCAGACUCAAAUAUAUUAAAUAGAUAUCUUCAGGAUUAUUGGUGCUGAAGCUUAUGUAGCCUUCAUCAUGUUGGCAGUAAAAUGCUUAUUGUGUUUGAAUGUUUGUUUAUGUAAGUGGAGCCGUACCUGUUGGUUUGUCCCAUUAUAAGGACACUAGCUUCUUAAAUGGACAAAUUUGCGUCUUAGCAAUAAUGAGAUUGAGCAAUAACAGGGUCUGUGAUGCCUUAGAUGUCCUGGGGCUGCACGCGCGCUACAAUGAAAGUAUUCAACGUGUAUUUCCUAGACGAGAGGUCCGGGAAACCGCUGAACCACUUUCAUGCUUGGAUUGUGAACUGAAACUGUUCACAUGAACUUGGAAUUCCCAGUAAGGUGUGAGUCAUUAACUCGCAUUGAUUACGUCCUCCCUUUGUACACACCGCCCGUCGCUACAUACCGAUUGAAUUAUUUAGUGACGGUCUCCGGAGCUCGUGAUCACUGUGACGCCUUGCGUGUUACGGUUGUUUCGCAAAAGUUGACCGAAACUUUGAUUAUUUAGAGGAAGUAAAAGUCUAACAAGGUUCCGUAGGUGAACUGCGGAAG
rnacentral:rRNA from 1 species